CGUGGAGUGAUUUGUCUGGUUUAUUCCGAUAACGAGCGAGACUCUAACCUACUAAAUAGUUGAUAUUUUUUAUAAGAGUAUACAACUUCUUAGAGGGAUUUGCGGUGUUUAGCCGAAAGAAUUGAGCAAUAACAGGUCUGUGAUGCCCUAAGAUGUCUGGGGCUGCACGCGCGCUACAAUGAAAAUUGCAGCGCGUGUGACCAUAUUCGAAAGAAUUUGGUAAACGAGUCAAAUUAUUCCGUAUUUGGGAUCGAAUAUUGUAAUUAUUAUUCGUGAACGAGGAACUUCAAGUAAGUGUAAGUCAUCAGCUUACGCUGAUUACGUCCCUGCCCUUUGUAC
rnacentral:rRNA from 1 species